GACGUAGGGCGCGAGCGUUGUCCGGAUUUAUUGGGCGUAAAGAGCUCGUAGGCGGCUUGUCGCGUCGUUCGUGAAAACCUGCAGCUCAACUGCAGGCUUGCGGUCGAUACGGGCAGGCUAGAGUUCGGUAGGGGAGACUGGAAUUCCUGGUGUAGCGGUGAAAUGCGCAGAUAUCAGGAGGAACACCGGUGGCGAAGGCGGAUCUCUGGGCCGAUACUGACGCUGAGGAGCGAAAGCGUGGGGAGCGAACAGG
rnacentral:rRNA from 1 species